rnacentral:rRNA from 1 species
AAAUGAAUAGACGGGGACCCGCACAAGCAGCGGAGCAUGUGGUUUAAUUCGAAGCAACGCGAAGAACCUUACCAGGGCUUGACAUCCCUCUGACCGCUCCUUAAACGGAGCUUCUUUUCGGAGCAGAGGAGACAGGUGGUGCAUGGUUGUCGUCAGCUCGUGUCGUGAGAUGUUGGGUUAAGUCCCGCAACGAGCGCAACCCUUGUCGCUAGUUGCCAUCAGGUCGUGCUGGGCACUUUAGCGAGACCGCCGGGGAUAACUCGGAGGAAGGUGGGGACGACGUCAAAUCAUCAUGCCCCUUAUGUUCUGGGCUACACACGUGCUACAAUGGUCGGUACAGAGAGAUGCGAAGCUGUGAAGCAGAGCCAAACUCUAAAACCGUCCCCAGUUCGGAUUGCAGGCUGCAACUCGCCUGCAUGAAGUAGGAGUUGCUAGUAAUCGUGAAUCAGAACGUCACGGUGAAUGCGUUCCCGGGUCUUGUACACACCGCCCGU